rnacentral:rRNA from 1 species
AACGAACGCUGGCGGCAGGCCUAACACAUGCAAGUCGAACGAAGCCUUCGGGCUUAGUGGCGGACGGGUUAGUAACACGUGGGAAUGUACCCUUCUCUAUGGAAUAGUCUCGGGAAACUGGGGGUAAUACCAUAUACGCCCUUCGGGGGAAAGAUUUAUCGGGGAAGGAUCAGCCCGCGGCUGAUUAGAUAGUUGGUGGGGUAAUGGCCUACCAAGUCUACGAUCAGUAGCUGGUUUUAGAGGACGAUCAGCAACACUGGGACUGAGACACGGCCCAGACUCCUACGGGAGGCAGCAGUGGGGAAUCUUAGACAAUGGGCGCAAGCCUGAUCUAGCCAUGCCGCGUGAGUGACGAAGGUCUUAGGAUCGUAAAGCUCUUUCGCUGGGGAAGAUAAUGACUGUACCCAGUAAAGAAGUCCCGGCUAACUCCGUGCCAGCAGCCGCGGUAAUACGGAGGGGACUAGCGUUGUUCGGAAUUACUGGGCGUAAAGCGCACGUAGGCGGAUCAGCAAGUUAGGGGUGAAAUCCCGGGGCUCAACCCCGGAACUGCCUCUAAAACUGUUGGUCUUGAGUUCGAGAGAGGUGAGUGGAAUUCCAAGUGUAGAGGUGAAAUUCGUAGAUAUUUGGAGGAACACCAGUGGCGAAGGCGGCUCACUGGCUCGAUACUGACGCUGAGGUGCGAAAGUGUGGGGAGCAAACAGG